rnacentral:rRNA from 1 species
UACAGAGGGUGCAAGCGUUAAUCGGAAUCACUGGGCGUAAAGCGUGCGUAGGUGGUCAUGCAAGUCGGGUGUGAAAUCCCCGGGCUUAACCUGGGAACUGCAUUCGAUACUACAUGGCUAGAGUAUGGUAGAGGGAAGUGGAAUUUCCGGUGUAGCGGUGAAAUGCGUAGAUAUCGGAAGGAACACCAAUGGCGAAGGCAGCUUCCUGGACUAAUACUGACACUGAGGCACGAAAGCGUGGGUAGCAAACAGG